GACGAACGCUGGCGGCGUGCUUAACACAUGCAAGUCGAACGAAGAGCGACGGAAGCUUGCUUCUAUCAAUCUUAGUGGCGAACGGGUGAGUAACGCGUAAUCAACCUGCCCUUCAGAGGGGGACAACAGUUGGAAACGACUGCUAAUACCGCAUACGAUCUAAUCUCGGCAUCGAGGAUGGAUGAAAGGUGGCCUCUACAUGUAAGCUAUCACUGAAGGAGGGGAUUGCGUCUGAUUAGCUAGUUGGAGGGGUAACGGCCCACCAAGGCGAUGAUCAGUAGCCGGUCCGAGAGGAUGAACGGCCACAUUGGGACUGAGACACGGCCCAGACUCCUACGGGAGGCAGCAGUGGGGAAUCUUCCGCAAUGGACGAAAGUCUGACGGAGCAACGCCGCGUGAGUGAUGACGGCCUUCGGGUUGUAAAGCUCUGUUAAUCGGGACGAAAGGCCUUCUUGCAAAUAGUGAGAAGGAUUGACGGUACCGGAAUAGAAAGCCACGGCU
rnacentral:rRNA from 1 species